rnacentral:RNase_P_RNA from 1 species
CCAGAUAGCCGGGCGACCGCUGCAGUCACCACUGCAGAGGAAAGUCCGGGCUCCACGGAAGAACGGUGCCGGCUAACAGCCGGCGGGGGUGACCCCAGGGACAGUGCCACAGAAACGAGACCGUCUGCCUGCUUGCCGCACGCCUUCAAAAGCUGCGCCAGGCCCAUAGGCCGACAAGGGUGAAACGGCGCGGUAAGAGCGCACCGCAGCCCUGGCAACAAGGCUGGUCAUGGUAAACCCCACCGGGAGCAAGACCGAAUAGGAACGGCAGGCCCACAAAGCCAGAAGCUCUUUCGCUUCGCUGUUCGGGUUGGUCGCGUGAGGCGGUUUGUGAGAACCGUCCCAGAUGAAUGGUCGCCCCACCCCUUUGGGGGUAGGACAGAACCCGGCUUACAGGCUGUCUGGCCUU